UACGGAGGGUGCAAGCGUUACCCGGAAUUACUGGGCGUAAAGCGCGUGUAGGCGGCCGCGCAGGUCGGGUGUGAAAUCCCUCGGCUCAACCGAGGACGUGCACUCGAAACCGCGCGGCUCGAGUCCCGGAGAGGGUGGUGGAAUUCUCGGCGUAGAGGUGAAAUUCGUAGAGUUCGGGAGGAACACCGGCGGCGAAGGCGGCCACCUGGACGGAGACUGACGCUGAGACGCGAAAGCGUGGGGAGCAAACAGG
rnacentral:rRNA from 1 species